GACGAACGCUGGCGGCGUGCUUAACACAUGCAAGUCGAACGGAAAGGCCCUGCUUUUGUGGGGUGCUCGAGUGGCGAACGGGUGAGUAACACGUGAGUAACCUGCCCUUGACUUUGGGAUAACUUCAGGAAACUGGGGCUAAUACCGUAUAGGAGCUCCUGCUGCAUGGUGGGGGUUGGAAAGUUUCGGCGGUUGGGGAUGGACUCGCGGCUUAUCAGCUUGUUGGUGGGGUAGUGGCUUACCAAGGCUUUGACGGGUAGCCGGCCUGAGAGGGUGACCGGCCACAUUGGGACUGAGAUACGGACCAGAGUCCUACGGGAGGCAGCAGUGGGGAAUAUUGCACAAUGGGAGGAAGCCUGAUGAAGAAACGCCGCGUGCGGGAUGACGGCCUUCGGGUUGUAAAACGCUUUCGCCUGUGACGAAGCGUGAGUGACGGUAAUGGGUAAAGAAGCACCGGCUAACUACGUG
rnacentral:rRNA from 1 species